AUCACUGUGCUUUUGAUGUUUUUAAAUGUAGCCUAGAUGUAAAUAUUGUAAGACUUUUAGAUGAUCUGCUGAAGAUGUUUACCCAUCUAGUUGUUUACAGACAGUUGUGCGCAUGUUUUAUUGUAGUGUCGGAUCGGAAGUAGCCUAGUUCGUGAAUGUUAAUGAAGGAGUUGGGCUUAUUUACGUUCAUCGGGAGCCGCCCUUCAUUCACCACAUGGUUAAAAGCAGAGCGCGUUCGCGCCACUUUCGCAAUUUUACUACGCGUUUGUACCACUGCCCGGGACGGCGUGCGCGAGUGCUGGUGAUUUAUUUUUAAAGAUUAUCGACACAAGUUUGCGGUUUACUUUCGACGGAGCUCUGGCAGUAAACGAGCAUCCACCCGAUGUCCCUUCUGGAUCUGUCCCAUUUCACCCCAAUCAACACCUUGAGAUGUCACUGUAGGGUCAAAGUGCAUACAGUGCAGGUAGUUCAGUGAAAUCUACUGCAGUGGAGGCACUUCAAGCUCUACUUUGACCCGAAUGCGUCCGGCCACCGAUGUAAACUACUGCUUAUGCUAAGGUGCAUUUAGUGCAGAUAGUGACAUAGACUAGCACCUACUGCCCUAAGUGCCCCUUCUGGCAUAAGGGGCUGGCAUACCCUGCUGUUACUGGCUGCACUCUUCAAUUCUUUUCAUUCCAUGCAGUUCUCUGCUAGUUUUGCAUAGUUGCACUACAAGAAAUAUUGAGUUGUGCAAAUCUAUGCAAAACUGAUGGUGGCCUGCUUGCCCAUCUUUUCUGUGCUUCUCGCUUUGACCGUUUCUGCUUUACCCGCAUCUUAGGUGCCCGUCUGGUCGCUCCAGCCACCUCCGUGCUUCUGCAGUAUUACUCCAGCAGUAUUAAAGUGCUCAUAGUGCAGGUAGUAAUUUAAAAUACUUCUCUACUGCAAUGUGAGCACUUCAAGUACUUCUAGAUGUGAGCGCUGAGGACCUUCGGAGAUGUUUGUGCACGCUGCUCUGAUUAGUUUUGCUGGUUUGCAGUCAGCGUUUGUACGGUUGCUGUGCAAAUCCAUGCAAAACUGAUCAUGUCGGUGACGAAUCUCAGUUUGCCGUCUGGUUUCCAGCAUCCCUUUCUUCGCAGGUUGGGAUUGGCCGCAAUGCUCUGAACUACAAGUAUUGCACUUGUCCCGGCCUGUGAAGACUAUGGGAAAUGAAUCUGCUGCAUUUGUGUGGAUGAAAUUAACGUGUAACUUAGAAAAAAUCUGUUUUACAUCAAUAAAAGUUUAAGUUGGACAUUGUGAUGUCACUGUGAAUAAUUCCAGCUCCUUCAAUCUAUAUAACUGUAGUUGGUAUUUUUCUCAUCCAAAAAUGUGUGGAUGCAAAGUGGGCAUGAAAGCCCGGACUAGUAAAGUGUAAAAUUCAAAGCUGUAAUUUUACUGAAGCAUUGACUGUUGUGUAGCUCUUAUUUUGUAGUAAUAGCCUCAAAUACAAUUCAUGAGGUGCAUCCUUGGAUGAUUUUAUAUUACGUGAAGUCAUAGUUUUAAGUUUUAAACUUAAAACUACUUUAUUUAUCAAACUAGUUUCAGGUAUUAACCCCUUCAGGCCCUGCUUCCAUUGGAAUGGUUCAAACACAAAACAUGCGAUGUCCGAUCAAAAUAAAACUGUAAGAAAUACUUUGCUGCCUUAAAGUUUUUUGUUGAAUCAACUCAUAUUUACAAGUCAUUUCAACUUACUAUUUAUCUUGACUAGAGAUGAGUUGUUAUAACUACAGGUGAGUUGUUUUAAGUUGACUUUUCUCAACUAUAAGUUGUGACAACUCAUCUCUGUUGGCAUGACUUGUAAAUCUGAGUUGAUUUAACAAAAAAUUUUAAGGCAGUAUUUUUACAGUGGAGGCACGUUGAUUAAACACCUGAAAAGUCAGGUCUGAAGGGGUUAAAUUAAAUCUUGUUUAUUUUACUUGUUUAUUUACUUUUGUAAACAUUGAUGAUUGGGAAUCAUUAUAUAGGACCCUCUUUUUUUUUAAGUCAAACCUGCAAAAAGUUUGACCACAAGAUGGAGCUGUUGCAUUGAGAACCAUUGUUGGCAACUGAAACUCAUUGUUUAAGGGCAAAUGUUUGUAAUAACGUUGAAAUUAAAUGCGAAUAAUACAAUUAAUUUGAAAAUGUGAAUUUUAAAGGGGAUUGUAGGAUAUGUAAUUUUACUCACUUUAAAUGUGAACCAUGUUUUGUAUAAAAACCACACCGUAAAAAAAAGGCUUUUUGUUUAAUCAACUCUGAUUUCAAAGUAAUUUUAACUUCCUAUUAUUUAUCUUGAUGACAGAUGAGUUGUUAUAACUUAUAAAAUUAAGUUUACAUUUUUACUAUAUUUUCUAAGUAUCAACUCAUGUCUUAUCAAAAUGCAUACAUAGUAAGUUAAAAUGACUUUAAAUCAGUUGAUUUAGCAAAAAAAUGUAGGGCAGGAAUUUAUCAAUUUUUACAGUUUAUGCUCUAAUGUUUGUUUCCCCAAUUUAAGUGUUUGUUUUGUGAUUUUUAAUAUUAAAAAGUGAAAUUAAAACUUAAGUUCUGUCUAUUUUC